rnacentral:SRP_RNA from 1 species
UGUGGGCAACAACCAGCUCCCUUUGAACCCCCCCAGGUCAGAAAUGAAGCAAGGGUAGGAGGUCGUAGUCGGUGUGUUUGCCCCUCUUU